rnacentral:tRNA from 1 species
GGUUCCAUAGUGUAGCGGUUAGGACGUCUGCUUUACAUGCAGACGGUCCUGGGUUUGCUCCCCAGUGGAGCCA